AAUAGAUACCCAGGUAGUCCACGCCGUAAACGAUGGAUACUAGCUGUUUGAGCGCAAGUUUGAGUGGCUAAGCGAAAGUGAUAAGUAUCCCACCUGGGGAGUACGGGCGCAAGCCUGAAACUCAAAGGAAUUGACGGGGGCCCGCACAAGCGGUGGAGCAUGUGGUUUAAUUCGAUNGAUACGCGAGGAACCUUACCAGGGCUUAAAUGUAGAUUGACGUAUUUGGAAACAGAUAUUUCUUCGGACAAUUUACAAGGUGCUGCAUGGUUGUCGUCAGCUCGUGCCGUGAGGUGUCAGGUUAAGUCCUAUAACGAGCGCAACCCCUGUUGUUAGUUGCCAGCGAGUAAUGUCGGGAACUCUAGCAAGACUGCCAGUGUAAACUGUGAGGAAGGUGGGGAUGACGUCAAAUCAUCACGGCCCUUACGUCCUGGGCCACACACGUGCUACAAUGGCCGGUACAGAGAGCAGCCACUUAGCGAUAAGGAGCGAAUCUAUAAAGCCGGUCACAGUUCGGAUCGGAGU
rnacentral:rRNA from 1 species